UUGUCCAGUUGCACCUUGGAGACCAACUAAGUUUGUUCUGGGUACAAGCUUUCGUGUGCAUGAACACAAAAGCUUACACCCAGAACAAACUUAGUUGGUCUCUAAGGUGCUACUGGACAA